rnacentral:rRNA from 1 species
GACAGAGGGUGCAAACGUUGCUCGGAAUUACUGGGCGUAAAGCGUGCGCAGGCGGUUUGCUAAGACAGGUGGGAAAUCCCCGGGCUUAACCUGGGAACUGCGCUUGUAACUGGCAAGCUGGAGUGUGGCAGAGGGGGGUGGAAUUCCACGUGUAGCAGUGAAAUGCGUAGAGAUGUGGAGGAACACCGAUGGCGAAGGCAGCCCCCUGGGCUAACACUGACACUCAUGCACGAAAGCGUGGGGAGCAAACAGG